AUUUUCAUAGUAUAAUAAAUAUUUUAGAUUGUCUCUCUAAAGAUCCUUUACAAGGUGAAAAUG
rnacentral:tRNA from 1 species